rnacentral:misc_RNA from 1 species
CUCGCGACACGUCAAGCACCUCGUACAGAACCAUCAUCUCUCCUCCUGCUGCUGACGGGCACGAACACAGCUGCGCGGGGUGCAUGCAUGCAGCGCAUAAAGGGCAACCUAAAGCACUGGCACUGCACAUAGAGAAGGCGAGACGCCGUACACGCGCUCGCGUCUGGGGCAUUGCUAGAGGGUCCGAGUGCCGAUCAAGAGAGGCCCGAUGUUUAAACAGCGGGAUAAUGAGUACCACCCGCCCAUGACGGUUGACCCAUCCGGCGGCGGGGUCACCACAUCCGCCGGUCUCUUUAGCGAGGUCGGAAUGGGCAGCGUCGCCAGCCCGUUUCUCGGCGGUCCGGCUGUCGCUGCAGGGUCGCGCAAGCGCGGGCGCGAUAUUCGCGGCCUGGACCGCUUUCGCACCGUUGUGUACGGCGAAGACGGCUUCCGUCGCCUGCACGCCAUGGUUGCGCGCAAUCCCGUCCUCAUGUACCCUCCAGACGGCAUCGAGGCGGCCCGCGCGCGUGUGAUGAUGCGUAAGGCGGAGCUGCAAAGCCAGUUGCGGAGCGCGCUCGGCCACCGCGAGCAUAAUCACGGCCCGGCCGACGAUGGCGACGAAGAUGUGUUUGCCCUGUUUGAAGCCCGAAGGCGCGCCGAGAGCGAUGCGCGUCCUGCCACAGAGGACGAGGAGGUGCCACGGCAACCUGCCAGCGAGCACGCGCCACCGCCCUCGAGCCUCGCCUCGAUCCGUCAAGACGAAGAACUAGCCAUCUAUCACCACAAGCAGCUGGACAGCUACCUGCGCCUCCUGUACGAGUUCAACCAUGCCACGUUUGUGAAACUGCCGCUGGAAGACACUCUUCAGCUGCUGUCGCGGUGCGGCAAGGAAGCUGUCGCCCACAUCGUCGAAUACGAAACGCAGGUGCGGCUGCGUCGGCAGUCGCGCAUCAGGGAUCUGAACGAGCUGCGGCAGGAGCAGGCGGCGCUGGAGGAGCGACGCCUCGCUAUUGAGGACGCCGAGCAAGCCCGACUUGUGCAGUCCGCCGAGCUGCGCCAAGCACAGCUCGACCUGGAGCUGGACAAGGGUGUCGUCAAGGCGGAGCCGCCCGAUGAUGGCAGCGCGGACGAAGAUGUAAAGGUUAUUCUCGAAACGGCCGCGCCAUCCGUGGGCUUUGCCUCCCUCCCCGCCGGCGACAGCCCGGAGGAGUACAUUGACGGGAUAGUAAUGGCGGUGGGGGAUGAGGGCAUCCACUACACGUGAGCGACCACGCCCCUCCCCCCCCCCUCUUACUCCUCCUCCCCCUCUCCAUCUGAAUUGCCGCCGGCGCCUUCUCCGCUGGGCGGCUUGUCUGCAUGCUUCUGUCUCAUAGCCGCUGUUGAGGAAGCACGCCUUGGGCAGGUGAGGAUUGUGACAAGGCGGAGCGAUGCGUGGCGCGUGUGCGUGUAUGGCACCGCCAGGCUUGGCGAUAUUUCUUUUCUUUGUUGGUGCCCGUAUCUGCUGCUGUUCACCUCUGCCAAGUGUGGGGCGUGUACAUGUGCAGUUUGCCUUCCCGCCCUCUGGGGUCUCUUCG